GGAGGUUCUCUGGUGACACACCCUGGAUUGGGCUCCCUCCUCUCUGGUUUCGGGUGUGUCACCCCAGAACCGCA
rfam:Myotis brandtii contig317167, whole genome shotgun sequence.